UAUACUUUAUUAUUUAUAUUUAAAAAUUUGAUUUUUAAGAACUUUAUUAAUUUAAAGAGGUAUAA
rnacentral:tRNA from 1 species